CCUACGGGUGGCAGCAGUCGAGAAUUAUUCACAAUGGGGGAAACCCUGAUGGUGCGACGCCGCGUUGGGGAAUGAAGGUCUUCGGAUUGUAAACCCCUGUCAUGUGGGAGCAAAUUAAAAAGAUAGUACCACAAGAGGAAGAGACGGCUAACCAUGUGCCAGCAGCCGCGGUAAUACAGAGGUCUCAAGCGAUGUUCGGAAUCACUGGGCGUAAGGCGUGGAUAGCCUGUUUCGUAAGUCGUGUGUGAAAGGCGCGGGCUCAACCCGCGGACGGCACAUGAUACUGCGAGACUAGAGUAAUGGAGGGGGAACCGGAAUUCUCGGUGUAGCAGUGAAAUGCGUAGAUAUCGAGAGGAACACUCGUGGCGAAGGCGGGUUCCUGGACAUUAACUGACGCGGAGGCACGAAGGCCAGGGGAGCGAAAGGGAUUAGAUACCCCAGUAGUC
rnacentral:rRNA from 1 species